rnacentral:rRNA from 1 species
AGUGAACGCUGGCGGUAGGCCUAACACAUGCAAGUCGAACGGCAGCACAGUAAGAGCUUGCUCUUACGGGUGGCGAGUGGCGGACGGGUGAGGAAUACAUCGGAAUCUACUUUUUCGUGGGGGAUAACGUAGGGAAACUUACGCUAAUACCGCAUACGACCUACGGGUGAAAGCAGGGGAUCUUCGGACCUUGCGCGAUUGAAUGAGCCGAUGUCGGAUUAGCUAGUUGGCGGGGUAAAGGCCCACCAAGGCGACGAUCCGUAGCUGGUCUGAGAGGAUGAUCAGCCACACUGGAAAUGAGACACGGUCCAGACUCCUACGGGAGGCAGCAGUGGGGAAUAUUGGACAAUGGGCGCAAGCCUGAUCCAGCCAUACCGCGUGGGUGAAGAAGGCCUUCGGGUUGUAAAGCCCUUUUGUUGGGAAAGAAAAGCAGCAGGUUAAUACCCCGCUGUUCUGACGGUACCCAAAGAAUAAGCACCGGCUAACUGCGU